ACUCCUACGGGAGGCAGCAGUAGGGAAUCUUCCACAAUGGGCGCAAGCCUGAUGGAGCAACACCGCGUGAGUGAAGAAGGGUUUCGGCUCGUAAAGCUCUGUUGUUAAAGAAGAACACGUAUGAGAGUAACUGUUCAUACGUUGACGGUAUUUAACCAGAAAGUCACGGCUAACUACGUGCCAGCAGCCGCGGUAAUACGUAGGUGGCAAGCGUUAUCCGGGAUUUAUUGGGGCGUAAAGAGAGUGCAGGCGGUUUUCUAAGUCUGAUGUGAAAGCCUUCGGCUUAACCGGAGAAGUGCAUCGGAAACUGGAUAACUUGAGUGCAGAAGAGGGUAGUGGAACUCCAUGUGUAGCGGUGGAAUGCGUAGAUAUAUGGAAGAACACCAGUGGCGAAGGCGGCUACCUGGUCUGCAACUGACGCUGAGACUCGAAAGCAUGGGUAGCGAACAGGAUUAGAUACCCUGGUAGGAUAGCG
rnacentral:rRNA from 1 species